GCUAAUGUAAAUGUAACCUACGUUGUUGGAGAGAGAAAUAACAUCAUGGAAGAGACAUAAAAGCUGGCAAAAGCUGACGACUGUCCUUAAGCCAUUCAGGUUUGUGACUGAGCUUUUUGGAGGUGAGACAUGUGUCUCAUGUUCAGUGGUUUUACCUGCUUACUGCCACCUGCAUCACACCAUGGAGGUCUC